GGUGUUUUUGUGCUCUCGUACGCUCCUCUGGAGCUGCCGGCAGGCCUUCUCUAGAUGUCUCUGGAGCUCUUGAUUCUUCUUCUGGAGCUUGGCCAGAGACUCAGUGCAUUCACUCUGCUUCCUCUGAGCUGUCAGACCUGCUGCAGGGAGAGGGAGCGUGAGGAGGGAAGAUCCAGCAGUGUGUGAGAUCUCCCAGACUCUGGAUCUAAUGGUUGCUGGUGCACUGCUGAUCUUCUGUUCUUCUCCACUCCUCCUGCUCUCCACUUCCUCCUGCAGCACCUCCUUUAGUUCACUGAGCAUCUCCUCCCGCAGUCUGCAGAACAACAGUGCUCCUUUAAAACAUACAUUCAGAGCGGCUUGUAGUUUCUGCUCCUGCUCUCUCUGGAGCUGCGCCCUGAGGCGGGACAUCUCCUCCUGCUUGUCUCUGAACCAAACGUCUCGGGCUGCAGCCAGCUCUGCUUUCAGGAGGGCAGCCUGCUCCUGGCACAGGUGCUCCAGUCGAGUGCUGAGGGUAAACACUUCCUCCUGGAGCUCCCCGUUUCUCACGUUACACUGCUCCAGUUCAGUGCAUUUGGUGUGGAGCGUGUCCUGCCACCUUUCCUCCACUGCCUUCACAGCAGAGGACAUCUGCGAUCAGAAGGCUGCUGUUGUAUUCUGGGAGGGAGGUCAAGUCCUGGAGCCAUCGAGAACGAGCACCUUCAACCUAUAAGGCAGAAAUCAUUAUUAACCCUGUAAAACCUGACAAAUAAAAUACAAGUCUGGAAUCUAACAUAUACAAGAAAAAAAAAAAAAACAACAGUCGUGGAUAGAACCAAAAAUAUAGCAUUUAGUGCAAUUUGAAGGGUAAAUGUCACAAUUACCUCUGAGAAGCCAUUCAAUGUUCAUAAACCAACUAGAAAAAAAACAAUCUAGAGAGGAGCAUUUUUCUAAAUAUAUGCACUAUAUUUUUACUGGACCACUUGUCUUUAUUAUUUAACAAGUUUGAAAUGAAUGCAUUUGUUUUCAUGUUAAGAGCUGUAAACACCUGGAGUGUGAUGUCAUCAGUGUGUUUCUGCUGCAUCUCUCUCUGAGCGUCUCGUACUGCUUCCUCCACGGCUCUGGCCUGCGCCGUCACAGCCUCCUGCUGCAGGGUCUCCUUCUGAGCGCUGAGCCGGUCCUCCAGCUCCUCCACUGAAAUCAGCUGACCUGCCGCUCCCUCACGGGAGUCUGACCGCCUGGCCUUCCUGACCUCUUCCUCAGCCUCCUGUAACCGCUGAGCCCAGGACUGCUCCAACUGGCACAAAGACAGACAGAAAGACAAAUCAAAGACAUGCACACAGACAAAAAAGGACAAGAUGACAAAAUAUAUCUAUAUAAACAAAAACAGACAGAUGAAACCAAAGAUACAGGCAAAAAAUAUGCAGACAGACAGAUAAAAUAUAUAAAGGCAAAAUAUAAGAGCAUCUGACCUACAGUCAAACCAAAAUUUAUUCAGACACCUUCAACAUUUCUCACAUUAUCAAGGUUUAUUUCCUAUGGUUUAGAAAAUGGUAAUAAAAUAUGACAAGAACAAAUUCAUCUUGAUAAUGUCAGAUAACUUUGGAUUUGGUUGAGUUGCUGUCAGCUGUUAAAUUUAAGUACACAAUUAAACAAUACCAAUUUAGGUCAACCAAUUACUAAGCCAUGCUUAAUUUUGUUCAGUCUGGUGUGCAAUUAAAUAAAAACACUUCAGCAAAACAUGGUUAGGUCAAUGUGUCUGAAUAAUUUUACUGUAUGAAGAAUCUUUGGGUAUAGUAUGUCACAGUUUACUUUAUUUUGCUAUCCUCACUUACAUAAAUGAACUAUAGUGUCCUGUACCCACUAGUAAAAAAUAUCAAAAGUUAUAUCUGGUGUCUGAAUAGUUUUUGGUUUGAAUGGUAAAACAGUGAGAUAGUAAGAUCAUGCUGGCUUGACACGACUGAUGUAAACGACCCAUCAUCACUAACCGUCUCCUGCUCCUGCUGCCAGCUCUUUCUGGCCGUUUCCAGCUGCUCUCUGACCCGCAGCUCAGUCUCAGCCUGUGGGUCUGUCUUCCACUGGGCUUUGAGCCGAGACACGUCCUCCUGAUGCUGACGCUCCAGAUUAGACCUCAGUCUCUCCAGAGCAGCCUCGCUCUCCUCUCGCCUCUUUAACUGAAACACAUGUAUAUGAUUAAUAACUUAAUAAAAUAAUACAUUUCAUUAAAAAUAUAAAUGUCAAUCAAUAAAUUAAUGUAUUCACUAUCUAGUGCUUACCUCAUUUUCUUUCAAUCUCCUCUGUUCUUCCUCCAGCUUGUCUUUCUCUUUGCAAACAGAAAUGUAGCAUUCCUGCACAGCUAACACCUCCUGUCUGAGAUCAGCCAGCUCUGACCUGUGGAUGGACCCAGUGUUAAUAGAAGUCAGCUUCUGCACACUGUAUGAAGUUUAUUAUGAAGGUGGAGGUGCAGUGCAGUACUGGAGCUGUUGGAGGUGCUGCUGAUGCUGGCGGGUGAGUUGCUCUAUGUGAGCCGUGUGCUCCUGCAUCAGCUCCGUCCGGACACCAUUCACCACGUCAUCUCUGAACUGCUGCCGAGUCCUCUCAUCCCUGCACACACAGAGCAUGUCACCGAUGAAACACCGCAGGAGGUGCACCAGAGGGGAAUUAUCUCUCACUUUAGCUAAACGAAUGGAUGUGUGACCUCUCUGCUGCUUCCUGUUUCUCCUGGUCCAGCUCCUGGAUCAUCUCCCUCAUCUUGGUGCAGAGCUCAGAGUUGGCUGCCUUCACCUUCUCCUCACUCUGCUUCAGCUCCUGAUUCCUCUUCUCCAGAGCCUGCCGUUCACAGCUGGGGUUGACUAGUGUAACAGCUAGCUAACUCAAUCAUGACUUUAUAAAACAUGGAUCCAGAUCAGUGUCAUUUUAAUAUUAUUUACAAAUUAUCAUAGUCUUUAUUAAUAUUCAGAAAUAGUUUUGUUUUUAUUUAUAUUUUUAGUCAUUUAUGUCCUUUUGUCAUUAAUUGUGACUCAGGCAGCGCUGCAGCUCGCUCUUCAGCUCUCGCACCACGUCCUCCUUCAGCAGGGUCGAGUCUCCUGCUUCCGCAAUAUGAGGUUUGCUGGAAAACAAAGUGAUUGUGAGAUUAUAAGAAGUUUGAAAUAGGAACACUAUAGCAAUACAGUUUGGAUUGUCAUUGUAUAAUGUUACGUUACCUGUGCAUCCGUCCAUUUCUCCACUUGGACUUCUUGAUGCCCAGGUCCAUGUAGGACUCAGACAGCUGCUUCUCCCAGUCUCCAUUAGACUCCAGGGCUCCAUUUUUAAAGGCAGACUCAUACAGAUUUAUCUGCUCCUUCAGUUCAGUCAACUCUUCCUGUUGAGAGAAGAAACACAUGGGCUGUUUUAUGGACAUUUUUAAUGUUUCCCAUUAUUUAAAAAGCUGUCAAACAUUAGUGGACGGACUGACCUGCAGGGCUUUGCUGAUGUCUUGGCUGAUAGCUCGGGUAGACUGGGCCUGCUGGAGCUUCAGCUGUAACUGACUCAUCUCUUGAACAGAGCCUGCAGAGAAUAAAAGAAGCUUGGAUAAAGAUGUUACAGACACAGGGGAGACAAAACUUCAAUGAUUUUAUUAAGGGAAAGACUGAAAACAUGAUUUUCCUUCUACUUUUAAAGGUGACAUAUCAUGAAAAUCUGUCUUUUUCAGGUUUUAAGUGCAACAUUCAGGUCUACCAAUCAAGGAAAAUGUGAAAAAGAUUAACCCAGUAACUUUGUUUUGGUAAGCUUUUUUCUGCAAGCAUCUGAAAAAACCGCCCCUUAAUCUGUAAUAGGUUUCCACCCACGGAGCAGAGUUGCCAAGUCUGAGUAUUAUACGUGACAUUGGGCUUGUUUUUUUUUGUAAAGUUGCAUGAAAAAAAUCCCUGGUCAUGGUUUUUUGGGCUUAUUUAAAAAAAUAUGGUUGCUUGUUAGAGAAAUCUGACAAGAAAUUUUGUUUCUUUAUUUAUGUUCGCUGUAUUCUCCAAUGCAUUGACUGACUCUCUGUCUGCUCGCAGUUAAUAGCCAACCAAUGCAAUAAUAUAAGUGCUGCAGUGUAACCUGACAAAUGUUCACCCCCUCCUCCCACACUGGAAGAAAAAAAAAAAAAAAAAAAAUCACAUUACAAAAAGAAGGUGUGUGACGCUAUAAUCUGUUUUCUUUCUUUAGCCUUAAUUUUUAAUUUCUACAAUUGUUUUUGUAAUGCAUUUAUUAUCACGGGCUACGUAGAAAGAAAAAAAAAAAAAAAAAAUAACACAUUCAAAAAGAAGGUGUGUGACGCUAUAAUCUGUUUUCUUUCUUUUAGCCUAAUUUUUAAUUUCUACAAUGUUUUUGUAAUGCAUUUAUUAUCACGGGCUGUAAUUAAAAAACAAGUAGUCCUAUACUAAUACUAAGAGUAUAUACAUUUGGUUCGAACAGCCUAUAUUUUAGCAGGCUAUACAUAUGUGGCUAUGUUUCAGCUCCCCUUUGAAGCUCUUGUGUUUUUUCUCCUUUUUCAUCUCUCCAAUCCUAUUCUGUUCACAGGGGACUGGAGAUGAGUUUUGUUUCCACUUUGUUGUAGUUUGCAAUUCCUGAAUGAAACAGCCUUUGAACGAAUCAACUCAUAAAGACAUCUACUGCCACCUGCUGGUAGUUUUAGUUUCUUCUUUAGAGUAUCAUUUCAAAAAAAAUUAACAUAAUAAUAGAUAAAUACAGUAAUA
rnacentral:lncRNA from 1 species